rnacentral:rRNA from 1 species
CGUGUAGGCGGCCUCGUAAGUCAGAUGUGAAAGCCCUUGGCUUAACCAAGGAAGUGCAUUUGAAACUGCUUGGCUUGAGUACGGGAGGGGAAAGCGGAAUUCCCGGUGUAGAGGUGAAAUUCGUAGAUAUCGGGAGGAACACCGGUGGCGAAGGCGGCUUUCUGGACCGAUACUGACGCUGAGACGCGAAAGCGUGGGGAGCAAACA